GACAUCUUGGAUGACAUGGGGAUGAGUAAAUUACUAGCAAAAGUUUUUUUCAAAAGUGAACUACUCCUUUAACUCUCUUGACACUAAGGUCACAACACAAAAAUGGUAAAGGCUCUAAAAAUAACUUGAAAGCCAUAAUACCAUAAAAAAAAGAUAAUCCUCAACUAGGAAAAUAGCCUUUCAGAAAUAUUGCAUUUGGAGGCAAAUAACCACAAGUUAAUGGUAUUUUAGCAGAAACUGUGGUUACCUUUUUUUAAAGGUCAAGAAAGAGAUAAAGAAAGGGUUAAUCUAAUUCACUUUCCUUUUUUCUUUAUUCCACUGACGCUCUGGCUUCACACUCUCUUCUCUCAUACAUCUCUCCGACUCCUUUAUGACUCUGAAAGGGCUCCCUAAAAUGUCAGAUGUGUUACACCCCACCUUUACUCCACGACUGGAACACCAAUAAUGAAAAUGGGCCUUGCCGUUCUCUCUUAAUUUGAUUUCACUAGCAGGUACACGGAGGGAUUUCUGGAAUACUGAAACAAAGGAGAUGGAUCCAGCUCUCUGAUGAAGAAGGAUAACCGUGAGGAAGAGGACAUGCGCACGUGCAUCGUUACGGGUGGAAUACCUAACUCAAUUGGAUAGACCUACAACCAAUAAGACCAACACAGGUUUGGACCGUGACUUGACUGAUUUUAAUAAAUGGAGAGACGAUGAAAGACACCAGGCUGAAGAAGCGCGUUCAUUUGAGCCUUUAGAGAAAAGAGACCGGGAGCCAAAAUGAUGUUUUAAUUAUGUAUUUAAUGAUGAUUUAAAUAUAAAAUGAUGUGGGUAUGGUGUGCCACGUGUGAGUAGUAUAACAAAGCGUCACCAUUGUUUGAUGCAGCGAUGGCUUUGACAUCUCUCGCCUUUGACAUCUCUCUCUCUGGCUCUGACAUUUGAGUUGCAUCGCCGUGAUGCCAAUUUCGGUUCCUUCUUUUACUUGGUCUUCCAUGAGUGCGACCAAAGGAGAAACCACAAUGACAACUGGGUUUUCAUUGCGUCCUAGCUUCUUAGCGACCAUUGGAGCCAGCUGAUAAAUGAAACUUUUGCCGAAUCCUGUAGGAAGGAAGGCAAAACACAUCUUUCUGAUCGACAAAUGAAAAAAAGGUACAAAAGCUGUCACUGGGGCUGUACCUUUUCAAAAGGUAAACUUUUAAAUUUUU